rnacentral:lncRNA from 1 species
AUCAUAGAAUAAAAGAAAAUGGCAAAACAAACUGCCCGAAAAAUAUAUCCACAUAUUAAUUGUUAAACAUUUCAAUUACGCCAGUAAAUGUCUUUUUCAAGAACAAGAGUUAAGCAUGAGAAAUCAGUCAAGCUGCUAGGUAAGGAAGCAUCAUCUUCAAAAAUUAACGUCUGUUUUGUUUUUAAGUUGUAACUCACUACUGUAUUUGAUAUACGUCGAUCCAUCCCCCCAAUGAAGUAAUAGAUAUUGCCACUCUUAAGAAAUCCCUCUGGCGGAAACUUAGUGAAACAAUGAUCUACGAACUGUAUCUUCUCUUCAUUGCGAGAAACACUUCCAACUCUUUU